rfam:Paenibacillus sp. TCA20 DNA, contig: PspTCA2nb03.
GAGGCGGUAUUGAUCAAUCAUCGAACUGCACUCGUUAGUUAGUUAUCCUGAGCUUUAAACAAUUGAAUCGUAUGCCAAGUUGUUGGAUUCUGCUCUGAGCCGAAGAGGACCGAGACAGAAGG